UACGUAGGGCGCGAGCGUUGUCCGGAAUUAUUGGGCGUAAAGAGCUCGUAGGCGGCCUGUCGCGUCCGCUGUGAAAUCCCGGGGCUCAACCUCGGAACUGCAUCCGAUACUGGCAUGCUAGAGAAUCGGAGAGGAGUCUAGAAUUCACGGUGUAGCAGUGAAAUGCGUAGAUAUCGUGAGGAAUACCAAGUGCGAAGGCAGGACUCUGGACAUUUUCUGACGCUGAGACACGAAGGCCAGGGGAGCAAACGGG
rnacentral:rRNA from 1 species